UACGUAGGGGGCGAGCGUUGUCCGGAGUUACUGGGCGUAAAGGGCAUGCAGGCGGUCGGACGCGUUUCGGGUGACAGCGGGUGGCUUAACUACCCGAGUGGUCGAAAGACGGUUUGACUUGAGUACGGAAGAGGCGAGUGGAAUUCCUGGUGUAGCGGUGAAAUGCGCAGAUAUCAGGAGGAACACCAAUUGCGAAGGCAGCUCGCUGGGACGUUACUGACGCUGAGACGCGAAAGCGUGGGGAGCAAACAGG
rnacentral:rRNA from 1 species